AACGAACGCUGGCGGCAGGCUUAACACAUGCAAGUCGAGCGGGCCCUUCGGGGUCAGCGGCGGACGGGUGAGUAACGCGUGGGAACGUGCCCUCUUCUACGGAAUAGCCCAGGGAAACUUGGAUUAAUGCCGUAUACGCCCGAAAGGGGGAAGAUUGAUCGGAGGAGGAUCGGCCCGCGUUGGAUUAGGAAGUUGGUGGGGUAAUGGCCUACCGAGCCGACGAUCCAUAGCUGGUUUGAGAGGAUGCUCAGCCACACUGGGACUGAGACACGGCCCAGACUCCUACGGGAGGCAGCAGUGGGGAAUCUUGGACAAUGGGGGCAACCCUGAUCCAGCCAUGCCGCGUGAACGAUGAAGGCCUUAGGGUUGUAAAGUUCUUUCAGCUGGGAAGAUAAUGACGGUACCAGCAGAAGAAGCCCCGGCUAACUCCGUGCCAGCCGCCGCCGUAACAC
rnacentral:rRNA from 1 species